CAGUAGCCACGGGAAUACAGAGGGUGCGAGCGUUAAUCGGAUUUACUGGGCGUAAAGCGUGCGUAGGCGGCUUUUUAAGUCGGAUGUGAAAUCCCUGAGCUUAACUUAGGAAUUGCAUUCGAUACUGGGAAGCUAGAGUAUGGGAGAGGAUGGUAGAAUUCCAGGUGUAGCGGUGAAAUGCGUAGAGAUCUGGAGGAAUACCGAUGGCGAAGGCAGCCAUCUGGCCUAAUACUGACGCUGAGGUACGAAAGCAUGGGGAGCAAACAGGAUUAGAUACCCCUGUAGUCCCUGUCUCUUAUAU
rnacentral:rRNA from 1 species